CAUUGUACAUAGCAGCUUCUCCUUCCCGUACUAACCUCUGCCCUCCCUUCUCUUGAGCAACAAGUCAGCUCCAACUCCAACCCGUCUCUCUCCCUUCUUCCGUGAGAAGUAGGUCGGUUCCAACUCCAUCCUAUCUCCCAUUCUUCUCCUACGUAGUAGGUCGGCUCCAACUCCAUCCUAUCUCCCAUUCUUCUCCUACGCAGUAGGUCGGCUCCAACUCCAACCUGUUUCCCUCCCUUCUACUGUGUGGAAUUGAUGCUCUCAAUUGGCUUAUUAAGAUGAAACAAAAAAUUGCAAGGAACAUCAAUUGAUUGUUAUUGCUUGUAUGCAGAGGGUGUUAAAGUGGUGGUUAGAAAGAAAUUUAAGAAGAGGAAAUAGGGGAAACAAAAAACGACAUUAUAAUGAAGCUACGCCCCAACAAAGGAUGAUCAAAAGCUUUGGAUGUAUACUACAAUCUCAAAUCCAAUCAAAUAAACAACUAAUCAUGUUCAGCUGAUAGCGGUGAUAUGCUUGAUAAGCCUUGCUUUGUAGAUGAACAGAGGAUGAUAUGUUAAUCUUCAUUGUAUCAGAACUUUGGUUUGAAGGAGUUGUUCAUUUGGCCAUUAAAUUUGAUGUGAAAAAUACUGUAAGAGUCUUGUAAGUCAUGCGAGUCUGUAUAAUUGAGCAAGUUAUCUUAUAAGAUGCAAACUUGCCAUGAGAGAAUCUUGUAAGAAUUUAGAAAUUAAACUAAUUGAUUGG